GGGAAUAUAGCUCAGGGGUAGAGUGAGUGCCUAGCAUGCAUGAGGUCCUGGGUUCAAUCCCCAGUACCUCCA
rnacentral:tRNA from 1 species